AUGUGCUUCUUCCGGUCUAUGCUCCCUCUCUUUGGUUCAUUGGCCUCCCAAAACUACUUUGUAAAUUGUGGAUGUCAAUGUCAGUUCUUCUGCUGCAAAGUUGGGGAAAGAAUUGUAGUGAAAAUCAAGUUUUGUCCGAGCACACAACAUCAGCGACGUGAUGAUGAAGCAAUGGCAUUGUCUGGCUAUUCAUACAAUUCUAUAGAAGAUGCAAUGGACGUUCCAGCUGCUCGAGUAAUGAAAUAUAUGGAGACCGUGCGUGCCAAGGUAUUGAAAGACUAUAGUUACAACAAGCUGCAACAAAGGAAAGAGAACUGUAUCUGA
rnacentral:rRNA from 1 species